AUGGCUGUCCUGGUGCUGCUCCUCUGCCUGGUGACAUUUCCAAGUUGUGCCCUGUCACAGAUACAGCUGAAGGAAUCAGGACUUGGCCUAGUGAAGCCCUCACAGACCCUAUCGCUCACCUGCACUGUCUCUGGAUUCUCAUUAACGAGUAAUGAUUUACACUGGUUCCGCCAGCCUCCAGGAAAAGUUCCGGAGUGGAUGGGAGCAAUAUGGAGUGGUGGAGGCACAGAGUAUAAUUCAGCUCUCCAGUCCCGAAUCACCAUCACCAGGGACACCUCCAAGAGCCAAGUUUUCUUAAAACUGAACAGUCUGCAAACUGAGGACACAGCCAUGUAUUUCUGUGCCAGAUACACAGGAACAUUUUACUACUCCAUCAGUGCAAAAUGA